CACAGAGUUUGAAACCAAAACACAGGAGAUGUUUACAUAAAGAAUUGUUACUACAGAGAGAGUCUCUCUGAGGCUAAGUUAGAGCUGCAGAGAAAAGAUCAAUCCUUGCGUCAGCAGAACAGACAACUUGCCCAGCUUGAGCAGGACAUAUUUUGGAUAGAAGAGAGUAUUCAGGAUGCAAAGCGUGCCCUGUGCAUGGUAGCAAAGUGAGCAUAGAGACCUUUGGAUUUUUCGUCGGCACAUUUUUGCGGGAGGUGAAACGAGAAAGUUUUCCGCAAAUCCACGCCUGCCGAAUUUAUUCGUCUAUCACUAGCAAGGACCACAUGUUGAUGCUAGUACCAUUUUUCAAACAAUGGAAUGUAGUCAAUUUAGCACACUGUACCACAUGAUGGCUGGAAUCUUGUGUUUUGAAAAAUGACUCACAAACUGGUAUAAAUUGUGAAAAAUGUAUCCCCU